CUGGCCCCAGGCGAGGAGCGGCCGGGUCGCUGACGGGGCUGUGCCUUGGCAGGCCGCAGAGAGCCUUCCCGGACGGCGCGCUCCCUGGAAUAACGGUGGCCCAGAUUAUUGCCCGGGGCUCCUCUUAAACUCACAACUGGAGAGUGCCAGGGCUCCUAGAACCGCUCCAAAGAGAAGGCACUCCGGCCCGAGCUGCGUUCCAGCGGGGGGCCGGGGACUAGAUUUAAGGUGCUCCGGUCUCGGGGCGGCUCCUGCCCAUUUCACUGGGGAGCUCCCGGGCCCCAUCAUUUCUUUGGGAUCGCGGCAGAAGCUGCUCAGGGCAGGACUCAAGGGGAGGACCAGGUCCUACCGCGCCAGUCAGAGGCUGUGAAGUCCUUUUGGAUGCGACGGGGGCUGCUUCGUGUCCUUUCUCCCCAGCCCCGGGGCUCACUGCUGCAGGCAGCCCGGCCCCUCCGUUUUGCACGUGCUUUGUGUUGAAGCCAGGGCGCUGUCCCUCCCAGUGCAGCGUGGCCUCCUGUGCAAAGGGCCAAUUUCUUGAUUGACGCCCCCCUGCGGUCACCACACCUAGAGUGGGACCGAAGUAAGAAGACUGGACCGGGAGCCGAACUACCUGGGUUCGAGUUUCACUUCGCACAUCUUUGUUGAGCAACUGCGGUGUGCCAGAGCGAGCAAGACGUACAAUGCCUGUCCCCACAGAGGCAGGAAACAGAUUUAACCAGUGACAUACGUGUGCUAGGAAGGAGACGUGCACAACGCGCUGAAACCUUAUGACAAGGGGACACCACCUAGUUGGGAGAGGGGUUGGGGGAACUGUAGGGAAGGGAAAAACUUCCCAGGGGACUGAGGUGUAAAAGAUAAGUAGGUGUCAACAGGACUAGGGUGAGAGAGGGGCACAUUCCAAGUGCAGAGAAUAAUAGCACGUGAGUGUUGUCAGCUAAUAGUCUUGGUCACUUCACCACCCUGAGCUUUUCACAUCUAAAGGACUUAGGCAUCUUUCAAAAUCAAAUGACAGACAAGAGCAGCAAGCACAGACAAACCUAGGGAGCAUAAUAUGCUCGACUUAAUUUUUUAAAAGCUUGGGGUAAGAAUAUAACUAUCUCUGUGUUUGCCCUUUUAUAUAAUACACAAUUAAUAUUGGCUGUGCAAAUAACUUUGGCUGAGGACAGGGAUGAGGCUGGAUAGAGAAUAUGUAUCUUGUGAAUAUUUUGAGAAUUGAACCAUGUGCAUGUGUGAUCCAUUUAUGGUAUAACUGAGCCCUUGAAUAAGUGGCUGACUGAAAUGUUGAGGGAGGGAAGGUACAGGGUGAACUGAAAAACUAUGUUGCCAGAAGGCAUGGUGGGGCAGGCUCCCUUGAAGGUGCUUGCAGGGGAUUAGCUAAAUUUGGGGAGAUUGCGCUUCAAAAAUACAGUGUAGAUGAUAACACACUGAAUACAACCCCUCAUGAGUUCAUGGUGAUAACUCAAAGUGAGAGAAAGGGGUAGAGGCUGGGAAAAUGAAGAAUACCAGCUAACAAAUGUAGAAAGUUGACACAAUCAGAAAAUACAACAUUUCCUUCAAGACAAUCAUCCUUGGACACCACAACUGAUGGGUUAAAUGUCAAAGAUGAGGAAUCUCACAAGGUCUUAUGGUAUCACCCCAACUGAUUGGACUCUAAGAUUUUUAAAUAAAUAAAUAAAUAUAUGA